GCGUAAUAGCUCACUGGUCGAGUCGGCCUGCGCGGAAGAUGUAACGGGGCUAAACCAUGCACCGAAGCUGCGGCAGCGACACUAUGUGUUGUUGGGUAGGGGAGCGUUCUGUAAGCCUGCGAAGGUGUGCUGUGAGGCAUGCUGGAGGUAUCAGAAGUGCGAAUGCUGACAUAAGUAACGAUAAAGCGGGUGAAAAGCCCGCUCGCCGGAAGACCAAGGGUUCCUGUCCAACGUUAAUCGGGGCAGGGUGAGUCGACCCCUAAGGCGAGGCCGAAAGGCGUAGUCGAUGGGAAACAGGUUAAUAUUCCUGUACUUGGUGUUACUGCGAAGGGGGGACGGAGAAGGCUAUGUUAGCCGGGCGACGGUUGUCCCGGUUUAAGCAUGUAGGCUGGUUAUCCAGGCAAAUCCGGAUAAUCAAGGCUGAGGUGUGAUGACGAGGCACUACGGUGCUGAAGUAACAAAUGCCCUGCUUCCAGGAAAAGCCUCUAAGCAUCAGGUAACAUUAAAUCGUACCCCAAACCGACACAGGUGGUCAGGUAGAGAAUACCAAGGCGCUUGAGAGAACUCGGGUGAAGGAACUAGGCAAAAUGGUGCCGUAACUUCGGGAGAAGGCACGCUGGUGUGUAGGUGAAGCCCCUGCGGGUGGAGCUGAGACCAGUCGAAGAUACCAGCUGGCUGCAACUGUUUAUUAAAAACACAGCACUGUGCAAACACGAAAGUGGACGUAUACGGUGUGACGCCUGCCCGGUGCCGGAAGGUUAAUUGAUGGG
rnacentral:rRNA from 1 species